ACCUUUACUGUAAAUCCAUUACUUGUAUUAAAGACUGUAGUUUAUACCCUGUGUCAAUAGUAAGCGGUGAUGUGCCGGCAAGCUGUUUGCCAACCACCAAUAACACCAAAUAAAGUACAUUUCCAAUCAUCCGGUCGAUGAAGAAGAGGAAGAAAGUAAACAUGGCUGUCGGGGCGAAGUUUUUGUGCAUUUCACAGAGAGGAUAUAUUCAAAAACAAUUUAAAUGCGGGGAUAGAGGUAAGGUCAUUAAACCUGCUAGUUGCGUUGGUAGCGGUCAUAUAAAUACAAUGAGAUAAAGUCUGGACAAAUGCCAUUUUUGUUAGUAUCUUUCAGCUGUUACGUUGGGCAACCAACUUUUCAUAGGCUAAAAAGUAGCCGUUACAGUAUAUUAACAUAUUACAGUACAAAGUAGCUAACUUAACGUCUGAUAACUAUCAUAAUAUAAUAAACAGGGCCAUAUUCUUUCAAUUGCACUGGAGUUAUCAUAGUGUACAUAACACGUUGGUUACUUUUUACCAAAUUCAAUGUUUUUCUGUGGUUGUUGGCGCUAGGCGAUAAUAUUAACGUCCGUUACCUAAUAACGUGUUGGUAAGUGUUGUGCCAAUUUCCCUACACUGAUAUUUACAGAGCGAAAACAUGCCGAAAGCUAGACUUCCUUAUAUUUAUGUCUUAAUUUGUGACGGAAAUGAAUCAAAAUUGUAAAAUACCCGUGAGAAGUAGGUUACCCACCUGACAAUUACUUAAAAGUCUCAAAAACUGUAAAGGUUAGAUCUUUAGCUCACUCUGAAGUUGCUGAACCUUCUGGACAACCGUUGGGCUCUUGUGGCAUGAACGUUGAAGGUCUCUCGCGCCCGGAACGUUGGAGGUCUCUCACAGUCUUGGCUGUAUCUCAACAAUACAGGUCGCCUAGGUUAUUACAAUGACUCAUUUUUUAUUAAAUAGAAUGUGACAGAUUCAUUCAGAGAUGAAAAUCCUCUGUAAUGGUCAAAAUAAAAUGACAUUGUAACCUGGAAGUAAAACGGCAUGAAAACCUACUGGAUUUAAACUGUCAUUUCAUGUUCAAAGUUGUACAUUAAUCCACAGUAGUAAAUUCAUUGCAUCUUCUAUCAGUCUCUAUGGCAGGUGCUGCUUUUAGAGAGUCUUACUCUCCAUAGUGGUCAGUAUUACUCUCUCAAAGCAGCACCUGCCAUAGGAAUCAGGUAAGUACAUCAGGUACUUAUGUUAUUGAUGUUAUACACUAUGGCUGCGUGACUGACCUGGGAUGAGACAGCUCUAAACUUCACCAAAUAUGUUUGAUUUUCAGCAUCUUUGACUUUUCCACACAACAACCAUAUAGGAGCCAUUGUCUAUUUUCUGUCUGGUUGUUAGUUAGUUUAAGUGGUCACUGGGUGGUGGUGUUUGCUAGUGUGAUUGUAGGUGUCUGGUAAUGGAGGAAGUAAUUAAGACACAGGUGUGUUGGCAGUCAGGAGGCAUGGGUGGCGGGGAGACUACACGGUUUUUACCGCACGCUACGCCGGUCCACAGCUCUCCGUUCUGCUUUACUUCACUUCACAAGUAAAAACCCGAUCUCACCUGGACAAUUGGAGCACUUGGAAAUGUGGAUUGCAGCGCUGCUAACUCACCGGGCUCUGGCUGGUAAUCAUUCAUUAAUCUGUCUCCGUGGGAAGGUAGGAAAAGUUCCUGCUCCGGAAAGUCCGCUUUGUGCAUAGAGCUGUUAAGUCACAUAUGUUUGGACGUAACUGGAUUAUUGAUGAAAACGGAAAAGCGUUGGCUGCGGCAGAGACUGCCUUUUGAACGUGAUGGCUUCAAUAAUUUCAUGUGAAAUCGUUGAUGAGUAAAGCAUUGUUACUGGAGGCUCUAGUAUGUUGUUUGGACUAACUGGAAGUGUAAAACGCGCUGCGCAGCUGUAAAAAAACGCAGCAUCAAUCCAUUUUGAAAGCACGUCUCAAACUAAUAAACAUCCGUUGAAAUGAGUGAUUUACACGGUGUUGCUGUUGAAAAUGAGCCUAAGGAAACCCAGAAUGGUGAAACAGAAAAAAGAAUUAAAAAACCUACUGCUAAAGGACUAAUGAUGAUGCUUGAAAAUCUUCAGAAGGAUAGGAGUGGGAAGUUUAAAGAAGCCAGCAAAUUAAACAAAACCUAAUUUGCUCACUGAGUUUUCUCUCCCUGAGGAGGAGCAGGAAAGACAGGAAGCAUGGUUUCAUGCAAAAGUGUCCAACAAUGAUGUAUUUGUUGAAAAGGUAUUAACAUGGUUGAAGGAAAAUGAAGUUGAAUGUGUUGAAAAUGCAACAGGUGUUGAAAAUGCUGUGGAUGGAAAAAAUGAACAUGACGGUGGUGAGAAAAAUUAGGAAGCUGAGUGCAAUGAUGACAUUGAUCAUUCUGAUAGUGUGUCCAAUGUGAAAGCCCAAAGGUCUAGCAGGAAAUGCAGCUCUCACAGAUCACAUGUUUCUGGGGUCUCAACUGCAUGUUUAAAGGCAAAGGCAGAAAAAGCAGCUUUGGAGGAGAAAGCUGCUGCUCUGCGAAGGAGACAGGAAUUGGAGGAGCAGGAGGAAAAACUAAGGCAAGAAACAAUCAAACUGAGGAAAAGGAAGGAGCAAAUGGAGCUGGAUGCACAAAUAGCCAUUGCUGCUGCAUGGCUUGCUGUGCUGGAAGGCAGCGAUGUUUCCAGUUGUUUCGGAUGGCAUGAAUUCUUAUUUGAGUAAGGAACUUAAAGUGGCAAAAGUGGAGUUCAACCCAAAAGCAACUGAAUUUGUGCCAAAAGGAAACAUCACAGCUGCUGAUCAAGGCCCAGCUCUGCCACAUGC
rnacentral:lncRNA from 1 species